CCCCUCCGUGCCAAAAAGAAAAAGAGGUCGUACUCAAAUGCCAAGUGUACAUGGAAGAAAGGAGAAUGAUGAGCUUCGAAUGGAGAAUAGGCCGGUAGAUGUUUGAGAGUCUCACUUUAAGGAUCUUGAAUAUUGGAACUUCGAUCACCACAAGGUAAUUAUAUCCAUUCUUUCUGGGACCUAUUAUCUACUUGUUUCUUGUUUUACUUUAUGUGAAGGAUUGGUUGUAAAAGGGAAAUAUUAAGGUUUCAAUUUCUUUCAAUUGACUUCUAAUUGUAUUUUCUUGUUCUGUGUUUCACUUCUAUAGAUGUCUGCAUAGCUUUUGUAUAUUAUUGUAUUGGUGGUUAUCAUGAGUUUGUCAAAAUAUACUUGGACUUUGCAAUAUUGGACUUUGUAUGUUCUAGUUUUUGGUACAGUAUUUAUUGAGUUUACUAUAGAAAAGGAUAAAUCUGGUGCUUUUUCCAAUUAUCAAAGGCAGUGGAGGGGAUGCCAUUAACAUCCUAUUCUUGCUUUUGGUAUGGAUGGAACAUGUAAAAUGAGGAUGAAAUUAUUCUUCAGGUGUUAGGAUUAUUACAGAAUUAGUUUUUUGGGGCUUAUCCUUUAACUUUUUCUGCCUCUGUUAAUUAUUUAAAGUUACAACAACACAUUCUUAGUUUUGGAUUUAUAACAUUACCUUACCUUUUCAAAAGAAAAGUUCAGUAUGAAGAGUAAAUGUUGCAGGUACUUUAACAUUGUCAAUGUAUUGAAUUAGUAUGGUAAGUUGAUUGCACUACUUAUUAUUCACUUUUGGUUACUAUUUGGUUGACUCAUUUGUAGAAAAAGUUAUUAUAGUUGUUAUUCCUGCCUAUAUAGUUUUCUAAACUCUAGCCUAUGUUGUGAUAUGAAAUCAGGAAUUAGCUAGUGGUCACAAAACCAAAUUUGUGCAAACUGACUACUUUUCCUUUUAAAUCCUAUAACGGGAUUAAUUUGAUAUGUUGUUCUUUUUUAGUAGCUUGCAUGCACAUUUAAUGUCCAAAUUUUGGUCUGGAUAAUGUGUUUUUGUAGAAGAGCUAGGCGCAUGGCUAGCAUCUUGUACGUCCAUUCUUUUCUUUUUCUUUUUGAUCAAUUUAUUUAGUCCAGGUAUUCAAGACGAAGGGUAAUGACUUUAUUUAUCCUCUUUUGUAGGUGGAGUAGAUCAAGAAAUAGAAGAUGAAGGCAGUGAAGAUCUAGACCUUACUUAAGAUGAAUUUUUAAUUGCUAUAAUUGAAUGUUUAGGAAUCUUUUGUUGUCAAUAUUUUGAAAUUUACCAUCUUGAAAUGUAUUAAACUUAUG
rnacentral:lncRNA from 1 species